CAGAAACCGGGCUACAACCGGAAAAUCGAAGUUAGUCAAUUGCAGGCAUUUUUCUCUGUCACUCUAAUUACGUCUUACUACUCUUUGAUGGUUCGACUCUACUACUCUUUGAUGGUUUCUGUGCUGGCAAUCCUAAGCGGGAACGGAAACGAGACUGUUUUUGUUUUGUCAUUAAUGACAUGACAUUGACAGCAACGGAAGUUGAACCGGAGUGCGAUAACGAUAGCAAACUACACAUACAUAAAAUACUUUGAAUUAAAGUAAAUUAAUUAAUUAACAGGUUAAGAAUUACAACCUUGAAAACCACACGUGUUUGUUCUUAAUAAUUGCCAAUAUGGAGCUUCAGACUUGGCUGUCUCAGCCUCCAAAGUAUACAACUUUCAGAAUAAACAAAACACGAGAAUAUGAUAUCAAAACUUUUGAAACCUACUUGGAAAACCAACGUGAAAGCUUAAAAUUACCAGCAAUACCGAAAUUUUAUUACCUCUAUCCGGACUGUUUGGUUGUGGAACAGUGGGUAACCGACGUUCAACCAAGUGGUAAUAGUGAGGUGAUAGUAGAUGCGCUGUGCGCCGCGGCUGUACUGAGAGGCGCUCAUGUGUUUGCUCCUGGUGUAAUGGGGCUCCCAUCAGGUUGCAGUGUCAAUGAUAAAGUUGACAUCUACGGUGACGUGGAGGGAAAAUGCAAGAAAGGGCUGAAAGUGGAGUAUACCGGCCAGAAAGUUUUUGUUGGCACUGGCUACUUGAAGAUGCCUCGACAUGAGCUAUUCAAAGAAGGAAUACCACCUAGCGGAAUUGCUAUAGAAGUUGCUCUGCCCGCUUCAAGACUACCAGUUAUCAAUGAGUCUAUAUACCCCAAAGGAACGUUGGUGCUUCAAAACCUUCCGUCAAUGGUCUGUGGCUGGGUGGUGAAUGCACAGCCCAAGGAGCUCAUCCUAGACAUGUGUGCAUCCCCUGGUAAUAAGACUACACACUUAGCAGAAAUGUCUAAUAAUGAAGCAACUAUUAUCGCAAUAGAUAAAACUCCUCAAAAAGUGGCUAGAAUAAAGGAGAAUUGUGAGAAACAUGGAGUUACUUGUGUCAUCGCUUAUGCCUUUGACUCAACAAAAUGCUAUUCAGAAAAUGGUACUACUGAUGUCACCAAAAGUCCUCCUUUUAGUUCAAAUGUUUUUGAUAAGAUUCUCCUUGAUGGACCAUGCAGCGGACUUGGACAAAGACCUCAGCUAGUUAACAAAAUGACUGACAAGAUGCUGCAGUCAUACAAAUUCGUACAACGAAAGUUAAUGGAAUCAGCAGUGAAAGUACUGAAACUAGGAGGGGUUUUGGUAUACAGCACAUGCACAGUAACUGAAGAAGAGAAUGAAGCCAUGGUCAUGUGGGCAUUGAGCAAGUUCCCCUGUCUUCAGCUCGUCCCUGCGGAGCCCCUCCUUGGAGGCCCGGGGAUGCCUUGCGAAGGUCUCACAGAUGCUCAAAGUUUGCUGACCGCUCGGUGACGGGGGGAUCCCUAGCGACAGCGACGUCGGGGCACGAAGGCCGAAUAAAACGAGCAAUGCUACAAAGAUUUGGACCCGAAGAUGAUUGUCUUAGGCCAACUAAACAUCCCAUAUAUAAAGACACAAUAGGAUUCUUCAUUGCAAAAUUCAUCAAAACGGAAUAAAUUACAAUUCAUAAUACAUAAAUC